AUUNGACAAUGGGGGGAACCCUGAUCCAGCGNCGCCGCGUGAGUGAAGAAGUAUCUCGGUAGGUAAAGCUCUAUCAGCAGGGAAGAAAGAAAUGACGGUACCUGAGUAAGAGGCCCCGGCCAACUACGUGCCAGCAGCCGCGGUAAUACGUAGGGGGCAAGCGUUAGCCGGAAUUACUGGGUGUAAAGGGAGCGUAGACGGUGAUGUAAGUCUGGAGUGAAAGGCGGGGGCACAACCCCCGGACUGCUCUGGAAACUAUGUGACUGGAGUGCAGGAGAGGUGAGCGGAAUUCCUAGUGUAGCGGUGAAAUGCGUAGAUAUUAGGAGGAACACCAGUGGCGAAGGCGGCUCACUGGACUGUAACUGACGUUGAGGCUCGAAAGCGUGGGGAGCAAACAGG
rnacentral:rRNA from 1 species